rnacentral:ribozyme from 13 species
AAAGAAGAAGAGAAAGAAGAAAAAGAAAAGGGAGAAGUGGGAGAAGUGGGAGAGGGCUGUUCUUUUUGGUGUUUGGACCUUGUUGAUCUUGUUGUUCUUUUUUUUGGGAAUUCUGUUUCUUU